GACGAACGCUGGCGGCGUGCCUAAUACAUGCAAGUCGAGCGAAUCGAUGGGAGCUUGCUCCCUGAGAUUAGCGGCGGACGGGUGAGUAACACGUGGGUAACCUGCCUGUAAGACUGGGAUAACUUAGGGAAACCGGAGCUACUACCGGAUAAUUUCUUUUCUCGCCUGAGGAGAGAUGGAAAGUUGGUUCUGCUAUCAUUUAUAGACGGACCCGCGGCGCAUUAGCUAGUAGGUGAGGUAACGGCUCACCAAGGCGACGAUGCGUAGCCGACCUGAGAGGGUGAUCGGCCACACUGGGACUGGGAAACGGCCCAGACUCCUACGGGAGGCAGCAGAAGGGAAUCUUCCGCAAUGGACGAAAGUCUGACGGAGCAACGCCGCGUGAGCGAAGAAGGCCUUCGGGUCGUAAAGCUCUGUUGUUAGGGAAGAACAAGUACGAGAGUAACUGCUCGUACCUUGACGGUACCUAACCUGAAAGCCACGGCUAACUACGUGCCAGCAGCCGCCGUAAAAC
rnacentral:rRNA from 1 species